CCAGACCACAAACCCUAGCCGCCUGCCGCUCGCCGGAGAAGACGAACCAGAAGCCGGACGCCGCCACCCGCCGCCGCACCGGGAAAUUUUCGACCGCCGAUCGAGGUAAAUUUCGUACCCCCGACUCAUUUUUCCAUGCUGAUUCCUCCUGUGGCCAAAUCGGAGCCAAAAUCCUGGCCAAACGGCCGGAAUACACGGCC
rnacentral:lncRNA from 1 species